rnacentral:rRNA from 1 species
AUGACAGCAACUUUCAUUAGGAGGUCUCGGAUCCGAUGGGUUAACCAACUAAUGCACUCUGACAGGAAGGAAUGGAACGAGGAGCUAGUUAGACAAAUCUUCUACCCUUUCGAUGCAGAUGAGAUUUGUAAAAUCCGAAUUCCAUCCUCGGAUGUGGAAGAUCGGAUUGCUUGGCACUAUGAGAAAAGUGGUGAAUUUUCAGUAAGAAGUGCCUAUAAACUUGCAGCGGCAAGCCUUCCCCAACUAGCUCAAAACCCCUCAAGCUCGUCUUCAGACCCGAACGAUCGUAGCAUAUGGGAUCUCAUUUGGAAAGCAAAAGUGCCAGGUAAAGUACGUAUAUUCGGGUGGAGGGUGGCUACAAAUACCCUUGCUACUAAGGAAAACAAGUGGAAAAGAACACUUGAACUAGACGCUACCUGCAACAUUUGUGGAAAUGUGACUGAAACUGAACAUCACGCGGUGGUCAUGUGCACAAAAAGCAGAGCAUUGAGGGAAGCCAUGAGGAAGGUAUGGAAUCUGCCUAAUGAAAACAGAUUUUGGUACACAGGUGAGAACUGGCUACAAACUGUGCUACAUACAGAAAAUGAGGAAAUGCGCGCCAAAAUCCUGCUGUUGUUCUGGAGGUGCUGGCAUAUGAGAGAAGACUGUAUCCGAAAUAAUGGCAGGGAAUCAAUCUGUGGCUCAGUACAGUUCCUGAAGCAGUAUGAGGAGGAGUUGAAAAAUGCAGAGAUGAAAGAUGUUUGGUCGGGUGGAAAAGAUGCAGCAUCAGUUCAUGGUACUAGCGCCUGGGUUGAUGCACUCCCUGGAAGUGCUGCUGCAGGCACCGAUGGUAAAUGGAUCCCGCCAAUUAGAGGGGUGGUAAAAGUGAACACCGACGCUGCCGUUCGAGCCGAUAUCGGGGAAAGCGCUGCUGGAGCUGUUGGCCGAGACUACCGAGGCUCAGUCCUCAUGUCUAUCUGCAAGCGGAUGCCUCAAUGCCACACUGCGGAAGAGGCUGAAGCCCGAGCCAUUCUGGUCGGCUUGCAGGCCAUAUCCGGUCUGUUUAAUGGUCAAGUGAUCCUAGAAACAGAUAACCAAUGA